ACCAGUGUCAUUUUUUCCUGAUGAUGUACCUUCUUUGGACUUAAUCCGGGUUAUUAUCAUGCAUUCGAUUGCCCUGUCUGGCUACUAGGAAGUUGAUGGAGGAAAACCUCUUCAGUUCAGAGAAGAUGCUACCAUCACUGAUUUACUCUAUCACAGUUACCAUAUUUGGGUGCAGAAAUCCAGAUGAACAUAAUAUGAUAGUCAACAGAUGCAGUUUGGAUUUAUAGUGAAUACAGGAAAAAGUCCAGUCCUUCAUUCUGCUCAUUCUGGGCUCAUCCACUUUGGAUUCAAAUUACAUUGCUGACAGGUAUCAAUUAAGAUAAUAUUGGAUUUUGACAGAAAAGUGGCUCCUUAAUUCUGUUGUAAAAUAAGCAAUUCCUUCUUAUGAUAGAAGGAAGCUAGAUGAGAAACCAACUCACUGGCUGGUUUUUCACUACUUGCAAAAUCAUGAUCUGCAAUUUAUUGAACAUAUAGUUUUGAAAUCACAAUGUCUGGGUUUACAUGAAAAUAAACAUUUCGGCUUAGUGUGAUGUGAAAAACCAGUUGUAGUAAUCAGCUAAUAUAAGGCACAAAAACAGAAUUUAGAAUUUGGUGAAAGACACAGCACAACAACAAUUUUUCUGGGUUUUUUUGUUUUUUCAUUUAUUAGGAAGCGCAGUAAAACAAACAACAAUUACAACCAACUAAUUGCAUUUCAAGGCUUGCCCACCUCAUUCUCCCUGUUGCUUGAUAAAAAAGGCCAGCUGGCUUUUGAAACUGCCUUGCAGAUAUUUUUUUUUUUCCUUCUGCAUUCAAGAUUACAG